GGAGUAAUGCGUGACCAACCUGCCCCAUGCUCCAGAAUAGCUCUUGGAAACGGGUGGUAAUGCUGGAUGCUCCAACUUGACGCAUGUCUUGUUGGGAAAGUGUUUAGUGGCAUGGGAUGGGGUCGCGUCCUAUCAGCUUGUAGGCGGGGUAAUGGCCCACCUAGGCUUCGACGGGUAGCCGGCCUGAGAGGGCGGACGGCCACAUUGGGACUGAGAUACGGCCCAGACUCCUACGGGAGGCAGCAGAU
rnacentral:rRNA from 1 species